GCAGCAACUGGCAGGCAGGCAAAUUGGAGGGAGAGUGUAUAUGAUGAAUUGGGCAUUUAUUAUUGUUGAAGAUUUUUAUUUACUGUUAUAGCAGCUGAAUCAAAUCCCUCUUACACAUGUGGUAGUAACAUGUUUUGUGUCUUUUUCUUUUCUUCACUUGUUGCUCUUUGGUUCUUUAUUUCUUUUUGACUCUUCACUGCCUUUUUAAUGAAAGUAGUGUUGUUAUGGG
rnacentral:lncRNA from 1 species